GUGCUCGCUUGGCAGCACAUAUACUAAAAUUGGAAUGAUACGGAGAGGAUUAACAUGGCCCCUGCACAAGGAUGAAACGCAAAUUUGUGAAGGGUUCCGUAUUAAA
rnacentral:snRNA from 1 species